ACCAACCCACCUUCGGGUGGUCCCCAGGUGAUUCAUAGUAACCGAACGGAUCGCAUUAUGACCUUUUGGUCGGCGAUGGAUCAUUCAAGUUUCUGACCUAUCAGCUUUCGACGGUACUGUAUUGGACUACCGUGGCAGUGACGGGUAACGGGGAAUUAGGGUUCGAUUCCGGAGAGGGAGCCUGAGAAACGGCUACCACAUCUAAGGAAGGCAGCAGGCGCGCAAAUUACCCAAUCCUGACUCAGGGAGGUAGUGACAAGAAAUAACAACACUGGAAAUUAUAUUUCUAGUGAUUGGAAUGAUGGGAAUCCAAACCCCUUUCAGAGUAACAAUUGGAGGGCAAGUCUGGUGCCAGCAGCCGCGGUAAUUCCAGCUCCAAUAGCGUAUAUUAAAGUUGUUGCAGUUAAAAAGCUCGUAGUUGGAUAUCUGCUGGAAGCAGCCAGUCCGCCCUUUGUGGGUGUGCACUUGGUGAAUUCUGGCAUCCUCCUGAUUGGUGUCAUCAUCACUUCAUUGUGUUGGUGGCAGCUGUCAGGACCGUUACUUUGAGAAAAUUAGAGUGUUUCAAGCAGGCUUGUUGCCUUGAAUACUGCAGCAUGGAAUAACAAGAUAGGAUUUCGGUUCUAUUUUGUUGGUUUCUAGGACUGAAGUAAUGAUUAAUAGGGACAGUUGGGGGCAUUCGUAUUUAACUGUCAGAGGUGAAAUUCUUAGAUUUGU
rnacentral:rRNA from 1 species